CCCAGACUUUGUGCAGCAGCCCCCCCAGCUUUUUUUUUUUUUUUUUUGCAUGCAUGCUCUUGGUUGCAUCCUGACCUCUACCUCAGGCUGACCCUUUGGAGGGGCAUGGUGGGGGGGGGGAAGAGAAGAGAGGAAGGGCGGGAGAUGGGAGACUUCUGCAGACACAGCCAUUAUGCAUCAAGAGAUUGGCUAUCAGGAGAAGGCUGACGGCUGCAGCAUGAAGCGCAUUAUUACCUUGUGAUUCCAUGACCCUCCUCUAUGCAUCCCUAACUCUCGAAAGCUGAUUCAGCUUUCAGCUAGUGCUCUGGUGACUCUACUGCUGCAACAGAAUCUUCUAACUGGUAUGUUACAGGCAUCCUCAGUUGUUAUGGAGUUCAACCGGAUGAUAUUUAAAAACAAUUAAAACCAACCCCCAAGCCUCAAAAGGGCUUUCUGGGGUUUCGUAUCUGCAAGGUAGUGUUUCAUUUACAAUGACCUGCAAAGGAAAAAUCUCUGGAGUCUCUAGAUAGCCGAUAUCACUGACACAAGAAUUGUGAUCUUGAUGAGUACUCAAGCAAUAGCUAAAGGCAGAGAAAUAAAAAAUGUGGCUGGAUAAUACAAAUGUUUGCUCAACCAGGAGAAGAAAUGAAAGCCAUGUUAAAGGCUGCACCAUAAAUCUGAUAUGUACCGUACCCUCGCCCACAGUAGACUGGAUCUGCAGAGAAACAUAAGCAGACUAAGGUGAGGAGAGUGCUAAUCAGAACUGGUAUAAGGUAGCCAGGCAUAUAGUGUACAGCCGCCAAGAAGAACGAAGCAAAACACCAGUAUUUCAAUAGAAAGGACCAAGAGCAUGUGGGAAAUUCUAAUGAACUUGCCAACUGUUUGUCCUAGUUUAUACAUUACAGCAGGUUUUGAUUUUACAUAAUACUGUAUUUAAAAAACCUUCAAUAAAAAAAGUUUUCGAAGAGAA